UACGAAGGGGACUAGCGUUGUUCGGAUUUACUGGGCGUAAAGCGCGCGUAGGCGGAUCGCUAAGUCCGUUGUGAAAGCCCUGGGCUCAACCUGGGAACUGCAGUGGAUACUGAGAAGCUAGAGUGUGUCAGAGGAUGGUGGAAUUCCCGGUGUAGCGGUGAAAUGCGUAGAGAUCGGGAGGAACAUCAGUGGCGAAGGCGGCCAUCUGGGACAACACUGACGCUGAGGCACGAAAGCGUGGGGAGCAAACAGGG
rnacentral:rRNA from 1 species